CCUACGGGAGGCAGCAGUGAGGAAUAUUGGUCAAUGGACGAGAGUCUGAACCAGCCAAGUAGCGUGAAGGAUGACUGCCCUAUGGGUUGUAAACUUCUUUUAUAUGGGAAUAAAAUGUUCCACGUGUGGGAUUUUGUAUGUACCAUAUGAAUAAGGAUCGGCUAACUCCGUGCCAGCAGCCGCGGUAAUACGGAGGAUCCGAGCGUUAUCCGGAUUUAUUGGGUUUAAAGGGAGCGUAGGUGGAUUGUUAAGUCAGUUGUGAAAGUUUGCGGCUCAACCGUAAAAUUGCAGUUGAAACUGGCAGUCUUGAGUACAGUAGAGGUGGGCGGAAUUCGUGGUGUAGCGGUGAAAUGCUUAGAUAUCGCGAAGAACUCCGAUUGCGAAGGCAGUUCACUGGACUGCAACUGACACUGAGGCUCGAAAGUGUGGGUAUCAAACAGGAUUAGAUACCCGUGUAGUC
rnacentral:rRNA from 1 species